GACGAACGCUGGCGGCGUGCCUAAUACAUGCAAGUCGAGCGGACGAAUCGAAAGCUUGCUUUUGAUUCGUUAGCGGCGGACGGGUGAGUAACACGUGGGCAACCUGCCCUGUAGACGGGGAUAACACCGAGAAAUCGGUGCUAAUACCGGAUAACACGAAAUGUCGCAUGACGUUUCGUUGAAAGACGGCGCAAGCUGCCGCUACAGGAUGGGCCCGCGGCGCAUUAGCUAGUUGGUGAGGUAACGGCUCACCAAGGCGACGAUACGUAGCCGACCUGAGAGGGUGAUCGGCCACACUGGGACUGAGACACGGCCCAGACUCCUACGGGAGGCAGCAGUAGGGAAUCUUCCGCAAUGGACGAAAGUCUGACGGAGCAACGCCGCAUGAGCGAAGAAGGCCUUCGGGUCGUAAAGCUCUGUUGUUAGGGAAGAACAAGUAACGCAGUAACUGGCGUUACCGUGACGGUACCUAACGAGAAAGCCCCGGCUAACUACGUG
rnacentral:rRNA from 1 species